CAAGCGGUGGAUGAUGUGGUUUAAUUCGAUGCAACGCGAAAAACCUUACCCACCUUUGACAUGUACGGAAUUCGCCAGAGAUGGCUUAGUGCUCGAAAGAGAACCGUAACACAGGUGCUGCAUGGCUGUCGUCAGCUCGUGUCGUGAGAUGUUGGGUUAAGUCCCGCAACGAGCGCAACCCUUGUCAUUAGUUGCUACAUUCAGUUGGGCACUCUAAUGAGACUGCCGGUGACAAACCGGAGGAAGGUGGGGAUGACGUCAAGUCCUCAUGGCCCUUAUAGGUGGGGCUACACACGUCAUACAAUGGCUGGUACAAAGGGUUGCCAACCCGCGAGGGGGAGCUAAUCCCAUAAAACCAGUCGUAGUCCGGAUCGCAGUCUGCAACUCGACUGCGUGAAGUCGGAAUCGCUAGUAAUCGUGGAUCAGAAUGUCACGGUGAAUACGUUCCCGGGUCUUGUACACACCGCCCGUCACACCAUGGGAGCGGGUUCUGCCAGAAGUAGUUAGCCUAACCGCAAGGAGGGCGAUUACCACGGCAGGGUUCGUGACUGGGGUGAAGUCGUAACAAGGUAGCCGUAUCGGAAGGUGCGGCUGGAUCACCUCCUU
rnacentral:rRNA from 1 species